rnacentral:lncRNA from 1 species
AUCUUUAUCAGGAGUGGCAAAUGCUUCCCAUGACGCUAAAGACAUUGAAAAACCCUAUGUUUACAGAGAACGACAACAAAAGUCUCAGGUUGAUUUACAUAUUUAGGGGUUGCGCGAAUUUUCAAGCUCUCUGCACAUGUAACUUAUGUUUCGGAUAUUAGUAGAUUUGUAGAAUGUGAGAUACACAUACAUGAAGUUGUUUUAAUUCUAGAAUCUAACUUUAUAUUGGGAUUAGGUGAAUUUGGCACGUGUGUUGGUGGAAAACCCUUACAUUACAAGGGAACACCAUUCCAUUGUAUCAUACUUACCCAGGUACAUGAUUCAAGGUGUCGAUGGGAUGGUAAUCGAACCCGAACCCGAUGGGUAAACCCGAAACCCGACACAUUUGGGAUGGCUUUGGGGUUGGUUAAUCGGGUUUGGGAAUAGUUUUUAUU